rnacentral:sRNA from 1 species
CUACGAAUUUUUUUGAACUGGUCAUUCUCGCCCAAUGCAGCACCCGCUCUCCCAAAGAACUACCCACCUACAUAGUUACGCAGGCUUGCACUCUUGAGAGAUUCCUCUCUCAUGGAAUCUCUGUCCCCAUGCUUUUCUGGCUUUCUCAAUUAGCACAUCAUUUGAUACCCCUAUGAAACGGGGUGUGUUGCGCCUUAUCACAUUUCUGAAUUGGAGGUGGAGAGUCAAUAAAGGUAUGAGAAAAUGGGAGGGAUAAAAAAAAUAAUAAAUGAAAAAAAGAGUCGCUCAUCGCCUAGCUGAUCCCCUCUUGCUCUCAGCACGCAUUUCGUUGGGAGUCAUGGGGUUCCAAUACGCGGCAGAUUCGGAAAUUCUAAAACACCAAGAAUGGAUGGCCCUCAAUAUCCAUGAUCCUUGAACAUUUAGCUCCCUUGUUCUAGUCAUGAGCUAUACUUACAUAUUGUGUAGUCCCAUACCAGAGGACUAAAUCAAUACAUUGCCCUCUGCGUCCUACCAUCCCAUUUCCUGCACAGUCCACCCCAUAAUCGCACGUCCCUUUCCAGGAACAUCCCCCCAAACAAAUCC